UCUGUUUGAGCAGCGACCACAGUCCCGGGAACACAAGAUUGCAAAGCUCCAAAAAGUUUUGGCAGUUCGGCAUAUGAUUCUUCCCAGUUUCCAUGAAUCAUCUCCAAUGCUCUUUGCUUUGCUAACCAUGUCUUCUUGUAGGAUGGGAUAUAAUUCAUGAGCGUUUUGAUCUCUGCAAUCAACGUCUUGAUGGAGACAGUUGGGUUUGUUUUGACAAUUGGUUGGAUGAUCU
rnacentral:lncRNA from 1 species